rnacentral:lncRNA from 1 species
GCUAUUGUACUCUCUGGGAUUGUACGAACUUGGACUGGAUUGGAACUGCAACAGAAAAUCUUCCAGGCAAGUGCCAAAGACUUACAUACACAACAGGGACAGCUGAUGCCAGGCGCACACCUACGGGAGCUCCUUCCACCCUCUGGGAGGCUCCUUGAGCUGACAAGUGUCCCGGAGCCCUGAAGAAACUAUCCUCACAGAAUGACCCAACAACAUGGGGCAGACACCUUUUGCACAUGGGCAGGGCACUGUCCCACUCAAAGGAUCAUUUGGAAGGUGGUAGGCAGGGGCCCCUCAGUGCGAGCGGAAUGGGGUGCCCUUAAUGGGAAGACAGCACAGCU